UCCGUCCUACGGGACGCAGCAGUGGGGAAUAUUGCACAAUGGGGGGAACCCUGAUGCAGCAAUGCCGCGUGGGUGAAGAAGCACUCCGGUGCGUAAAGCCCUGUCAGCAGGGAAGAAAAUGACAGUACCUGGACAAGAAGCCCCGGCUAACUACGUGCCAGCAGCCGCGGUAAUACGUAGGGGGCAAGCAUUAUCCGGAUUUACUGGGUGUAAAGGGAGCGCAGGCGGCGUGGCAAGUCAGAUGUGAAAACCCGGGGCGCAACCCCGGGAGUGCGUUUGAAACUGCCAUGCUGGAGUGACGGAGG
rnacentral:rRNA from 1 species